rnacentral:sRNA from 1 species
GCAGACGUCUGUUUCGAUGUAUAAAUGCAUUCAAGCCUCGGGAAAUUAAGUUUCAUCUUCAUUUUAUUCUUUCUAUGUACCAGGUACCGAUCUCCUUGACCAAAGGGAGCUAUGUUUACUCGAAAAUCCAGCUUUGUGUUGGUGCUGGCCUACGCUUUACCAUUGCUUGCAUCCCCCGUCGCUGAAAUCUUCAGCGUUUCUCAUGCCGACUGGCGAGCUCUCAAUGUAAGUGUUGAGGGCCGUCUCGGUGUGUUACAGCCCCUUGCGGAACCUUGUUACUUCAGGUAUGAGCCAGCGAUCGUGCCACUCCUCCGUACUCCGGACCAAGGAGUUUGCAAGAUCGCGCAGGACAACCGACGCAAUGUCGAUUUUAUCACCUCGCAGCCCGCAGGAUAUCACAAUCCAUACCACGGAACAUGCAUGACUUCUGGACAUGGGUGUCCACUCACCAAAUUGUUGGUGAAUGAUGCCACCUGCUAUCAAGGCAACGUACCGGACUAUUACAUUGAUGUGCGCAAAGUUUCGGAUAUCCAGGCUGGAUUGAAGUUCGCUGAAAAACAUAAUAUCCCUUUGGUGGUCAAGAAUACCGGUCACGACUUCAAGGGCCGCAGCGCAGGCGCUCACAGCUUGGCUCUCUGGACACACAACCUCCAACCCCCU